rnacentral:rRNA from 1 species
AACGCGAAGAACCUUACCUGGGUUUGACAUAUGCCGGAAAGCCGUAGAGAUACGGCCCCUUUUAGUCGGUAUACAGGUGGUGCAUGGCUGUCGUCAGUUCGUGUCGUGAGAUGUUGGGUUAAGUCCCGCAACGAGCGCAACCCUCGUCUUAUGUUGCCAGCACGUAAUGGUGGGGACUCAAAAGAGACUGCCGGGGUCAACUCGGAGGAAGGUGGGGAUGACGUCAAG